rnacentral:rRNA from 1 species
CAGCAGCCGCGGUAAUACCGAGGGUGCGAGCGUUAAUCGGAUUUACUGGGCGUAAAGCGUGCGUAGGCGGCUUCUUAAGUCGGAUGUGAAAUCCCUGAGCUUAACUUAGGAAUUGCAUUCGAUACUGGGAAGCUAGAGUAUGGGAGAGGAUGGUAGAAUUCCAGGUGUAGCGGUGAAAUGCGUAGAGAUCUGGAGGAAUACCGAUGGCGAAGGCAGCCAUCUGGCCUAAUACUGACGCUGAGGUACGAAAGCAUGGGGAGCAAACAGGAUUAGAUACCCCCGUAGUCCCUGGUCUCUUAUU